rnacentral:rRNA from 1 species
ACGCUUGAAGUCAGUCACGUCUGCCAGGACUCAGCCUUGCUUCUGCUUGGUGUACUUUCUGGUUUGAUGGGCCAACAUCAAUUUUGACCGUCGGAGAAAGGCUUUGGGAAUGUGGCACCUUUUGGUGUGUUAUAGCCCUUUGUUGUAUACGGCGGUUGGGAUUGAGGACUGCAGCACGCCUUCAUGGCCGGGGUUCGCCCACGUACGUGCUUAGGAUGUUGGCAUAAUGGCUUUAAGCGACCCGUCUUGAAACACGGACCAAGGAGUC